AUGGUAACAAAAUUGUUAUAUCUCUCUCUCUCAAGGAUAACAGAACAUGGAUGCUCUCUCUCUCUCAACAAACUCUCUUUCCUCUCGUCUUCACCAAUAACAGAAGGAGCUCUCAACAAUGCUCUGUCAUGGGAUGGUCCUCUCAAAAUUUUGAGACUCUCUUUUGGAUUGCUUCGUGAAGUGUAUCGCAGCAGCUUCGAAGCUUCCGUCUUCUUCUUUGAUUUGUAUCGAGUAAACCAAAUAUCACAACAAGAUUCAAGGAUUCUGAGGCUAUCAGUUGUCAUCGUCAAGAUCAUAGGAUUGCGACUGUAG